rnacentral:rRNA from 1 species
UAUACCGUGAAACUGCGAAUGGCUCAUUAAAUCAGUUAUCGUUUAUUUGAUAAUACCUUACUACUUGGAUAACCGUGGUAAUUCUAGAGCUAAUACAUGCUGAAAAUCCCGACUUCGGAAGGGAUGUGUUUAUUAGAUAAAAAACCAAUGCCCUUCGGGGCUUUUUGGUGAUUCAUGAUAACUUUACGGAUCGCAUAGCCUUGCGCUGGCGACGGUUCAUUCAAAUUUCUGCCCUAUCAACUUUCGAUGGUAAGGUAUUGGCUUACCAUGGUUUCAACGGGUAACGGGGAAUUAGGGUUCGAUUCCGGAGAGGGAGCCUGAGAAACGGCUACCACAUCCAAGGAAGGCAGCAGGCGCGCAAAUUACCCAAUCCCGACACGGGGAGGUAGUGACAAUAAAUACUGAUACAGGGCUCUUUUGGGUCUUGUAAUUGGAAUGAGUACAAUUUAAACCUCUUAACGAGGAACAAUUGGAGGGCAAGUCUGGUGCCAGCAGCCGCGGUAAUUCCAGCUCCAAUAGCGUAUAUUAAAGUUGUUGCAGUUAAAAAGCUCGUAGUUGAAACUUGGGCCUGGCUGGCGGGUCCGCCUCACCGCGUGCACUCGUCCGGCCGGGCCUUCCUUCUGAAGAACCUCAUGCCCUUCACUGGGCGUGCUGGGGAAUCAGGACUUUUACUUUGAAAAAAUUAGAGUGUUCAAAGCAGGCCUUUGCUCGAAUACGUUAGCAUGGAAUAAUAAAAUAGGGCGUGCGUUUCUAUUUUGUUGGUUUCUAGAGACGCCGCAAUGAUUAACAGGAACAGUCGGGGGCAUCAGUAUUCAGUUGUCAGAGGUGAAAUUCUUGGAUUUACUGAAGACUAACUACUGCGAAAGCAUUUGCCAAGGAUGUUUUCAUUAAUCAGUGAACGAAAGUUAGGGGAUCGAAGACGAUCAGAUACCGUCGUAGUCUUAACCGUAAACUAUGCCGACUAGGGAUCGGGCGAUGUUCUUUUUCUGACUCGCUCGGCACCUUACGAGAAAUCAAAG